AGAUUAAGUUAUUAAGGGCGCACGGUGGAUGCCUUGGCACUAGAAGCCGAUGAAGGACGUUACUAACGACGAUAUGCUUUGGGGAGCUGUAAGUAAGCUUUGAUCCAGAGAUUUCCGAAUGGGGAAACCCAGCAUGAGUUAUGUCAUGUUAUCGAUAUGUGAAUACAUAGCAUAUCAGAAGGCACACCCGGAGAACUGAAACAUCUUAGUACCCGGAGGAAGAGAAAGAAAAUUCGAUUCCCUUAGUAGCGGCGAGCGAAACGGGAAGAGCCCAAACCAACAAGCUUGCUUGUUGGGGUUGUAGGACACUCUAUACGGAGUUACAAAGGACGACAUUAGACGAAUCAUCUGGAAAGAUGAAUCAAAGAAGGUAAUAAUCCUGUAGUCGAAAAUGUUGUCUCUCUUGAGUGGAUCCUGAGUACGACGGAGCACGUGAAAUUCCGUCGGAAUCUGGGAGGACCAUCUCCUAAGGCUAAAUACCGGCGAGUUACGAUUUGAUGCAAGGUUAAGCAGUAAAUGUGGAGCCGUAGCGAAAGCGAGUCUGAAUAGGGCGUUUAGUAUUUGGUCGUAGACCCGAAACCAGGUGAUCUACCCUUGGUCAGGUUGAAGUUCAGGUAACACUGAAUGGAGGACCGAACCGACUUACGUUGAAAAGUGAGCGGAUGAACUGAGGGUAGCGGAGAAAUUCCAAUCGAACCUGGAGAUAGCUGGUUCUCUCCGAAAUAGCUUUAGGGCUAGCCUCAAGUGAUGAUUAUUGGAGGUAGAGCACUGUUUGGACGAGGGGCCCCUCUCGGGUUACCGAAUUCAGACAACACCAGCUAAGGUCCCAAAAUAUAUGUUAAGUGGAAAAGGAUGUGGCGUUGCCCAGACAACUAGGAUGUUGGCUUAGAAGCAGCCAUCAUUUAAAGAGUGCGUAAUAGCUCACUAGUCGAGUGACACUGCGCCGAAAAUGUACCGGGGCUAAACAUAUUACCGAAGCUGUGGAUUGUCCUUUGGACAAUGGUAGGAGAGCGUUCUAAGGGCGUUGAAGCAUGAUCGUAAGGACAUGUGGAGCGCUUAGAAGUGAGAAUGCCGGUGUGAGUAGCGAAAGACGGGUGAGAAUCCCGUCCACCGAUUGACUAAGGUUUCCAGAGGAAGGCUCGUCCGCUCUGGGUUAGUCGGGUCCUAAGCUGAGGCCGACAGGCGUAGGCGAUGGAUAACAGGUUGAUAUUCCUGUACCACCUAUAAUCGUUUUAAUCGAUGGGGGGACGCAGUAGGAUAGGCGAAGCGUGCGAUUGGAUUGCACGUCUAAGCAGUAAGGCUGAGUAUUAGGCAAAUCCGGUACUCGUUAAGGCUGAGCUGUGAUGGGGAGAAGACAUUGUGUCUUCGAGUCGUUGAUUUCACACUGCCGAGAAAAGCCUCUAGAUAGAAAAUAGGUGCCCGUACCGCAA
rnacentral:rRNA from 1 species